ensembl:lncRNA
GCUGAAUAGGCAUUUGGUGUGCUCUCUCUGUAGAAGACAUUCUCCUGCUCUCAGCAUUCCUUAGUUGCCUGUAGUUCUUUGUGUAGAUUUGAGGCCUUGUGGGUGUUCCCCCAUCUACUUUGAGCGAUGAAGAAUAUUGAAGAUGACUCCAUCGAUGAGAGAGAGGAGAAGAAUGAUAUAGAUAAACUCAUUACAUGAAUUUGACUGAACAAAACAAUGCAUUCUAUACUAAAGGCAAUACAAUGGUGGUGGAGCAGCUUCUGAGACCUGGGGUUUUUCAGGAACUAACUUGCCCAGUUCUUGGGAACAGAGAUUCUGGCCUAGUCUCCUGAACUGCCAAUUUGAAGCCUGUCCUGGAGUCAGCCUGUCUCAGACUAAAAUGGAGAAGGACACUUUCUGGAAGUUGCACAUCACAUCUGCAGGCACCCAAAAGCCGGGCUCCAUUUUCAUCUGGUUAAAGAAAGGGCUUUAAACCUUUUGAUGAAUUUAUUACAACUGAAGGAGAUCAUGGGAAAACAAUUUGGAAAGGAAGAAGUUAAAGUAUCUUUAUUUGCAGACAAUAUGGUCAAAUACAUAAGUGAUCCUAAAACUUUGACCAGGAAACUCCUGCAACUGAGCUGGGGACUGAACCCAGGGCCUUGUGCUUCCUAGGCAAGCGCUCUACCACUGAGCUAAAUCCCCAACCCUUUAACAUAUUUCUUAAACAGGAAACGCAGAUGUCUGAGAAACACUUAAAAUAAAUGUUAAGUGGGUUUUGUCACAAGGAAAUGCAAAUCUGCUCUACUUUGCAAUAUCAUCUGUACCUGUCAGAAUGGCUAAAACCAAUAAAAUAAAUGACAGGUCAUGCUUCCAUGUAUGUAGAAUAACUGAAGCCCUCAUUUCUUGCUGGAUCAGUGUGGCAGUUCCUCAAGAAGAUGAGAAUUGAUGUAUCUCAAGAUCCAGCUAUAGCACUCUUUCAAUUUAUCCAGAGAAUGCUUCAUUUUACCACAGACUCAUCUGCUCGACCAUAUUUGUUCAUAAUAACCAGAAGUUAGAAAUAACUUAGAUGUCCAUCUAUAGAAGAGUGAAUAAAUGUGAUAUAUAUAUAUAUAUAUAUAUAUAUAUAUAUAUAUAUAUUUGCCUGAGCACAUUUAAGCAAUUCUCUACUGUGUGAUUGUGCUCAGUCAUUAAAAAAAAUCACAUUAAAAAUUUAAGGUAAAUGGAAGGACAUAGAAGAAAGCAUCCUGAAGUAGCACAGAUCCAGAGAGACAGAUAUGGUAUGUAUUCACUUGUAUGUAGAUAUUAGCUGUUAAAUCAAUAGGACCACAGAAUUUACAGAUAGAUUAAGCCAUUAGAAGGACAAAUAGAUCUUGCUAGGGAAGAGAAAUAGAGUUUGGAUAGAUGGGAGAAGGGACUUGUAGGAUGAUGUCAUAGGUGAGGCAGGUACAAGAUAGAAGGAGGCCUGUUAUUGGAUGAGAAGGAAGGAUGGGCGGGAGAAAAGUUUGAAGGAAGAGGAAGAGACUGGAACAGAAAGGAAGAAGAGACAGGAGGGACAGGGAAAGAAGCCAUGGCAGGACAAUGUGGCAGGUGAUGUUAAGAUUCCACGCUGACAACGACUUUAUGAAAUUCAUAGGCAAAUGGAGGGAACUGGAAAAUAUCAUCCUGAGUGAGCUAACCCAAUCACAGAAAAACACACAUGGUAAGCACUCAUUGAUAAGUGGAUAUUAGCCCAAAUGCUUGAAUUACCCUAGAUGCACAGAACACAUGAAACUCAAGAAGGAUGACCAAAAUGCAAAUGCUUCACUCCUUCUUUAAAAGGGGAACAAGAAUACCCUUGGGAGUGAAUAGGGAGGCAAAGUUUAGACCAGAGACUGAAGGAACACCCAUUCAGAGCCUGCCCCACAUGUGGCCCAUACAUAUACAGCCUCCAAACUAGAUAAGAUGGAUGAAGCAAAGAGGUGCAAGCUGACAGGAACUGGAUGUAGAUCUGUCCUGAGAGACACAGCCAG